rnacentral:lncRNA from 1 species
UGGAUGUUCCCUCCUCAAUUAUCAGAUGUUCUAUUUGCCGCCACCUUUUUGCAUUUUUCCUGAUACCCAAUCUCGCCCCAUUUCUUUGACAAAUCAGGCCAAGCGUUAGCACCAAUCCUGUUAGGUUUUUUUCUUGAACAACGCACAUUAGACAACAAAGUUGACAUUCUCUUUGAACAUUUCUUGUUGAAUAUUUUAAUCAUCGCCUUAUCAAAUUGUUUCAACCAAGUGCAUCGUAUUUAUGCAUAAAGCAAAAUAAUAUAAAUAUUAUUAAUGAUUAAUAUAUAAUAUAUAAUUAAUGAUAAAAAUAAUCAUUAAUAAAGUUGUCUUUGAGCUAGAUUGUAAGAUUGUUGUUAAUGAUGUGAACAAGACGAGUAUCAACCACUCGGAGUAUGAUUCAAUAUAUUAUUCAAAACUAUCGAAC